CUUGGGCCUGUUCCCCACGAAUAUUCGAGAAAGCGGAGAAUCCUUAUCAAUCUAGUACGAAGGAACGUUCUUUAACCCAUUUUUUUGUAGUAUAUAUGCAGAAGAUCAAAAGAAAAGCCUUAUUGUGUAUAGCAAUAGUGGUUUGAGAGGAUUUUUUACCAAUUUUUUAAUGCCCGACUGAAGACGAACUGUUAAUCUGCAACAAUCCAUACAGUACUGCACAAAGAUCAAAUGUUAAUCGGUGAACUGUCGAUAUGGAUUUUCUGCGAUUGCAACUCAUGAAGAACAGAUGAUGUGCAUGGUGUUGGCUGCGGUUUAAAUUGUUAGAACUAUCGAACAAAAAACGAAAAUACUGCUCUUCUAACGGCGAAAAUGUAUAGAUCUAAGAAAGGGUCAUUUGUUGUUCAUCGUCGACACAUGGAUGCUCGUUUCAUUAUCAUCAUGGUAGUCACAUCCCAGCAAAAAUCUGGAACGAACAAUCCAUUUUGAAUCUUUUCAUGCAUGGCUUCAAAUAUCGUGGAUUGAGGCUUACUGGUCGUAGAAUGACAUCAAUCCAGUUGGAGGUUUGAGCACGAAAGUCGAGGUACACGAUUUUUACUUCUCUUCUGAUAGUUCACUCGGCAAUGUCCUGUUUCGCCCAAAACUGCCCAAUGUUGUUGCUACUGCUUGGGUGUUUCUCUUUUCGUUUCUUUGUUUAACUGCUUUCAUUUCUGUUGUUUUAUUUUGUCUUAUUCAUUAAUUUCAACUUAUUGUAUUGUCCAUGUUGUGAUGCACAUUAUAUGUUUUUGUCCUGUCUCAUUACUAUAUUUUAGAAUUAUUUUAUCCGGCAUUACCGGACCAAUUUCAAUUUCUUGUACUGUCCAUGUUGUAGUGUACAUUAUAUAUUUCUGUUUCGUUACUAUAUUCUUAGACAAGAAACAUUAUUUUAUUCGGCAUCACCGCAUAUCUUGCAAAAAAAUAAAAUAUAAAAAUAAACCAUAUGUUCAAAAUAAAACAAAAUAAUUUGCUUAUUGUAGUUUACUAUUUCAAAAAUCUUCAUUUUAUGAAAUGAUGUACGUGAUGUUAUCGUAACGUCGUAAAGUUGUCUACAAACUUUUUUCCACUCCGGCCAAAGACUUUUUAGUAAACAAAAGUCAGCGCAAUCCUAUUUGGUGAAAGUAUGAAGUAUGUUGAAAAAUUUUUCUU